GCAACCCCAGGUCAGGCGGGAUUACC
rnacentral:rRNA from 1 species